AAGAGGGUCAGAGGGGAGUAGCAGACCCGGCCCGCUCGGGCCGGGACCCGGGGUCAACAUGCCAGGCGGCAACGCCUUGGCCCCGGGGCUCACGCAGAGCGUGCGAGACCUUUGGCGGGACCGACCGCGUACAGGCGGUUCCCGUCGAAGGUCUUUUUUUUCGGGAGGUGCCGGUGAUC
rnacentral:sRNA from 2 species